UCCGGGGUAGCUCAAUUGGCAGAGCGGAUGGCUGUUAACCAUUAGGUUGCGAGUUCGAGUCUCGCCCCCGGAG
rnacentral:tRNA from 1 species